CUACGGGGCGCAGCAGUGGGGAAUAUUGGACAAUGGGGGCAACCCUGAUCCAGCAAUGCCGCGUGUGUGAAGAAGGCCUGCGGGUUGUAAAGCACUUUCAAUAGGGAGGAAAAGCUUUGGGUUAAUACCCCGAAGUCUUGACGUUACCUUUAGAAGAAGCACCGGCUAACUCUGUGCCAGCAGCCGCGGUAAUACAGAGGGUGCGAGCGUUACUCGGAAUUACUGGGGUAAAGCGCGCGUAGGCCGUUUGAUAAGUCAGAUGUGAAAGCCCCGGGCUUAACCUGGGAACUGCAUUUGAUACUGUCAAAGUAGAGUAUGGUAGAGGGUAGUAGAAUUCCUGGUGUAGCGGUGAAAUGCGUAGAUAUCAGGAGGAAUACCAGUGGCGAAGGCGGCUACCUGGACCAAUACUGACGCUGAGGUGCGAAAGCGUGGGGAGCAAACAGGAUUAGAUACCCCCGUAGUC
rnacentral:rRNA from 1 species